rnacentral:rRNA from 1 species
AAUAGAUACCCCGGUAGUCCUGGCAGUAAACGGUGCAUACUUGGUGUGGGAAGAUUCGACCCUUCCUGUGCCGGAGCUAACGCGUUAAGUAUGCCGCCUGGAAAGUACGGUCGCAAGAUUAAAACUCAAAGAAAUUGACGGGGACCCGCACAAGCGGUGGAGUAUGUGGCUUAAUUCGGUGCAACGCGAAGAACCUUACCUGGUCUUGACAUGCACUGUGUCUCCCGUGAAAGCGGGAUAGGAUAGCAAUAUCCGCUUUGCACAGGUGCUGCAUGGCUGUCGUCAGCUCGUGUCGUGAGAUGUUGGGUUAAGUCCCGCAGCGAGCGCAACCCCUGUGGUUUGUUGCCACCCGGUUUACCGGAGCACUCGAACCAGACUGCCUCGAUCAACGAGGAGGAAGGUGGGGAUGACGUCAAGUCCGUAUGGCCCUUACGACCAGGGCUGCACACGUACUACAAUGCCCAGCACAAUGUGAACCGAAACCGCGAGGUGGAGGAAAUCAGCAAAACUGGGCUCAGUUCAGAUUGC